GGACCAUUCUUUUCUUUUAAAGACAAAGGAAGCCCUAACCCUAGCCACUUCCAAAUCAACCGCACGCUCCCUUUCUUCUCUCCCCUCACUCUAACCUCUCACCCUUCCUCUCUCUAAAUGGCGUCGCCGUCGCCGGUGGACGGCUGCUGCCGCCGCUCCACUACUCUCUCUACCCUUUCUCCACUCUUCUCUCUCCACCAGCAGCCAUGGCUGCCACUGCCGGAACAGCCGCCGCCCUUCUCUUUCCCUUGCCUCAACCGCCGCCGGUGACACGAGUGCCACACCAUCCUUUUCUCUCCCAAAUGCCGCCUCACCCCUUUUCCGGCAAAACUACGCUGGCGAAACCCCUUCGCUGCCAUCGCUAGGCUCGCCGGUCAGCGACCAGCCACUCCAUUCUCCGCAUCUCCACCACUCCGACCAGCAAUUAAGUUGUCCCGUCGCCUCUGUGCAACAGCUAAACCCCCAUAGCACCGCCUCCCUCAUGCUCCAGCAACACUGCCCUCUCCUCUCACCCGUUACGUCCUCAUCAGAGUUGAUGACCGACGAGGUUUUGAUGAACAACGAGGCUCUGGUGAACUUAUCUGCUAUUAUUGCCUGAUAUAAAUAAACAAUUAUGGGGUUUUGAAGAGUCGCCGAGGUGUUUACAUUAUAUUGUAGUAGUUCUAUUUAGUUUUAGUUUCUUAUUAUUUGGUUUGUAAUAUUAUUGUAUAAACAGUACUAUUAUUGUAAUAAUAAUAAUGGGGACUGCUCGGGGGCGGAAACUUACAUGCUCUGUGAAUAGUAUAGGUAGGCACAACUUAGGAUUUUACGUGUAUUACGUGCUAUAUGAAUCACCUAAUAUUCGAAGCA